rnacentral:rRNA from 1 species
UCUUCCCUGGGUAAGUCGGGACCUAAGGCGAGGCCGACAGGCGUAGUCGAUGGACAACGGGUUGAUAUUCCCGUACCGGCGAAGAACCGCCCAAACUAAUCCAGUGGUGCUAAGUGCCCGAAUUCCUUUGUAUCGAUCCCUUCGGGGUGAGAGCGUUGGAGCUAGCGCAUGACCCCAUGCUGGUGCGGUUAGCGUAUUAACAGGUGUGACGCAGGAAGGUAGCCCAACCCGGGCGAUGGUUGUCCCGGGGCAAGUGCGUAGGCCGAGUCAUAGGCAAAUCCGUGACUCUUACAGGCUGAGACACGAUGCGGAUAAAAAGUGGGUGAUCCUCUGCUGCCAAGAAAAGCAUCGACGCGAGGUUCUAGCCGCCCGUACCCCAAACCGACUCAGGUGGUCAGGUAGAGAAUACCAAGGAGAUCGAGAGAAUCGUGGUUAAGGAACUCGGCAAAAUGCCCCCGUAACUUCGGGAGAAGGGGGGCCAUCCACUUAUAUGAGCUUGCCUCAAAAAGGGUGUGGUGGCCGCAGAGACUAGUGGGUAGCGACUGUUUAUUAAAAACACAGGUCCGUGCCAAGUCGCAAGACGAUGUAUACGGACUGACGCCUGCCCGGUGCUGGAAGGUUAAGAGGACCGGUUAGCCGUAAGGCGAAGCUGAGAAUUUAAGCCCCAGUAAACGGCGGUGGUAACUAUAACCAUCCUAAGGUAGCGAAAUUCCUUGUCGGGUAAGUUCCGACCUGCACGAAUGGCGUAACGACUUCCCAACUGUCUCAACCGCGAACUCGGCGAAAUUGCACUACGAGUAAAGAUGCUCGUUACGCGCAGCAGGACGGAAAGACCCCGUGACCUUUACUACAGCUUGGUAUUGGUGUUCGGUGUGGCUUGUGUAGGAUAGGUGGGAGACUUUGAAGCGGUGACGCCAGUUACCGUGGAGUCAUUGUUGAAAUACCACUCUGGUCACUCUGGAUAUCUAACUUCGAACCGUAAUCCGGUUCAGGGACAGUGCCUGGUGGGUAGUUUAACUGGGGCGGUUGCCUCCCAAAAAGUAACGGAGGCGCCCAAAGGUUCCCUCAACCUGGUUGGCAAUCAGGUGGCGAGUGUAAGUGCACAAGGGAGCUUGACUGUGAGACUGACAGGUCGAGCAGGGACGAAAGUCGGGACUAGUGAUCCGGCAGUGGCUUGUGGAAGCGCUGUCGCUCAACGGAUAAAAGGUACCUCGGGGAUAACAGGCUGAUCUUGCCCAAGAGUCCAUAUCGACGGCAUGGUUUGGCACCUCGAUGUCGGCUCGUCGCAUCCUGGGGCUGGAGUAGGUCCCAAGGGUUGGGCUGUUCGCCCAUUAAAGCGGUACGCGAGCUGGGUUUAGAACGUCGUGAGACAGUUCGGUCCCUAUCCGCUGCGCGCGUAGGAAAUUUGAGAGGAUCUGACCCUAGUACGAGAGGACCGGGUUGGACGAACCUCUGGUGUGCCAGUUGUUCUGCCAAGAGCACCGCUGGUUAGCUACGUUCGGGAUGGAUAACCGCUGAAAGCAUCUAAGCGGGAAGCCGGCCUCAAGAUGAGAUUUCCAUGCCUUCGGGCGAGAGGCUCCCAGCCAGACUACUGGGUUGAUAGGCCGGAUGUGGAAGCGUGGCAACACGUGAAGCUGACCGGUACUAAUAAGCCGAUGACUUGAUAACACACC